UUCCUUUUGCUUGAAUUUAACAAGCGUCUUCACCUUAUGAGGGUAACGAUCUAACAUUGAUCUAAAAAGGA
rnacentral:tRNA from 1 species